CAGAAGCUGCACGACUCGUAUAGA
rnacentral:siRNA from 1 species